rfam:Salmo salar isolate Sally breed double haploid chromosome ssa16, whole genome shotgun sequence.
UGCAUUCACUACUGUAAGUCGCUCUGGAUAAGAGCUUCUGCUAAAUGACGUAAA